UACGGGGGGGGCAAGCGUUGUUCGGAAUUACUGGGCGUAAAGGGCUCGUAGGCGGCCAACUAAGUCAGACGUGAAAUCCCUCGGCUUAACCGGGGAACUGCAUCUGAUACUGGAUGGCUUGAGUUCGGGAGAGGGAUGUGGAAUUCCAGGUGUAGCGGUGAAAUGCGCAGAUAUCAGGAGGAACACCGAUUGCGAAGGCAGCUCGCUGGGACGUAACUGACGCUGAGACGCGAAAGCGUGGGGAGCAAACAGG
rnacentral:rRNA from 1 species